GAUGAACGCUGGCGGCGUGCCUAAUACAUGCAAGUCGAGCGAACAGACGAGGAGCUUGCUCCUCUGACGUUAGCGGCGGACGGGUGAGUAACACGUGGAUAACCUACCUAUAAGACUGGGAUAACUUCGGGAAACCGGAGCUAAUACCGGAUAAUAUAUUGAACCGCAUGGUUCAAUAGUGAAAGACGGUUUUGCUGUCACUUAUAGAUGGAUCCGCGCCGCAUUAGCUAGUUGGUAAGGUAACGGCUUACCAAGGCAACGAUGCGUAGCCGACCUGAGAGGGUGAUCGGCCACACUGGAACUGAGACACGGUCCAGACUCCUACGGGAGGCAGCAGUCGGGAAUCUUCCGCAAUGGGCGAAAGCCUGACGGAGCAACGCCGCGUGAGUGAUGAAGGUCUUCGGAUCGUAAAACUCUGUUAUUAGGGAAGAACAAAUGUGUAAGUAACUAUGCACGUCUUGACGGUACCUAAUCAGAAAGCCACGGCUAACUACGUG
rnacentral:rRNA from 1 species